ACCUGGGUAGCUCAGUCGGUUAAGCAUCUGACUUUAGCUCAGGUUGUGGUCUCACAGUUCAUGGGUUCAAGCCCCACAUCAGGCU
rfam:Felis catus isolate Cinnamon breed Abyssinian chromosome A2, whole genome shotgun sequence.